rnacentral:misc_RNA from 1 species
UUUCCGUAGGUGAACCUGCGGAAGGAUCAUUCAUAAUAAAGUGUUUUAUGGCACUUUUUAAAAAUCCAUAUCCACCUUGUGUGCAAUGUUAGAUCUCGUCAAUCUUGGCGAGAUUUUUAUACAUCAACUCAUUUUUUAACCAAUUUGUCUGAAAAAUAUUAUGAAUACUUAAUUCAAAAUACAACUUUCAACAACGGAUCUCUUGGCUCUC